GGCUCCAGCCCGGAGGGGGCUGGAGGGAGGGGCCGGGGAGGAGCUGGCGAGACUCGGGGGAGCGGGGCUGGCUCAGGACACAAAUCCAGGAGCCAUUCCUUCUGCCUGGGAGGAGGGAGUGAUGAAGACCAGAGGAAUCCCAGAGGAGAAGCCAUCUGAGAUCGGGAGGAGGAGAAAUGGAACAUCAGGCGGAGGAAACAGCCCAGACAAUCGCACUGGGACGUGAAAACCCUUGGGCUGCAUGCGGGGAGAAAACCAGAAUUGGGGAUGGUUAGGGUUUUGGAGGGAAACACAGGGACAUGUGACCAAAAAUAAUAAUAACUACUGUUACUUAUUGAGGACUUUCUAUGUACUAGAAUAAGAAAAUCAUGAUAGCUAAGACUGAUAAAACGCUAAGUGUCAAACGCUGUCUUCAGCACUUUACACAUAUUCACUUAUUUAAUUAAUCGGAGAAAAUAACUUUUAUGAGCCAGGGACUCUGCAUACAUUAUCUCUUUUCAUUAGCCCAGUAAUCCCAUGGGGUAGGUACUAGUACUAUCCCUGUUUUAGAAAUGAGGAAAUCAAACCUGAGAGGCUAAACCACUUGCCCAAGAUUACACAGCUAAUGUCAGUGCCUAGAUUCAAACCCACAUCCGUAUAACUCCAGAGCCUGAUGCAACACACCUUAUUUUCCAGGUGGAGAAACUGAUAAUGAGAGAGAAAUGACUUGCCUAAGAUCCCUCAGCAAGUUUUAGCAAAGCCUCGUUGUAGAAUCCCAGCCUCAAACCUCGUCCAUCUGUUCCUUUUUCUGAGCCUCUUUAGUCAAACCCAGGUUGACUAGAGAAGUGCUAAGUGUUGGAGAGGGCGAGGCACUCCUGAAGAUGAUGGGUAGGUAGGUCUAUCAAACCCUACUCAUGGGCACCCAUGAGGGAAAUCAAAUAAGUGGUUCUGGCCAUUAAUGUCGUUUGGGACUCCGUUAGUCUCCAGCUGCUGUAAAAUUCGUAUCUUUCUGUGAACCCGAAAUAUCUGAGAUAGGUCUCAGUCAAUUUAGAAGGUUAAUUUUGCCAAGCUUAAGAACGUGCUCAUGACACAGCCUCAGGAGGUCCCAACAUGUGCCCAGGGUGGUGGGGGUGUAGCCUCCUUUUAUAUAUUUUGGGGAGACAUGAGACAUCAAUCAAUAUGUGUAGGAUGUACAUUGCUUCCGGUCCGGUAAGGCAAGACAACUCCAAGCUGCAGAAAGGGUGGUGCUUCCAGGUUAUAAGUAGAUAAGAAACAGAAGAGGUUACAUUCUUUUGAGUCCUUGAUCAACCUUCCACUGAAUACACAAUUUAGUCUAGCUCAGUGAAUCUACAUUUUUACAUAAACAAUAGGGCAGAAGAAGCAAUCAGAUAUGCAUUUGUUUCCGGUGAGCCUCAGAGGGAUGGCUUUAAAUUCUGUCUGUCCUUUGUCCACAAGGAAUUUCCUUGUGUGAAAAUUGUGAGGAAGGUAUGUAGCUGUUUCUCUUUGUAGCUAUCUUAUUUAAGAAUAGGAUGGUGGCCUGGCAUUGUGGCUUAGGCCUGUAAUCCCAGCACUUUGGGAGGCCAAGGCGGGCAGAUCACCUGAGGUCAGGAAUUCGAGACCAGUCUGACCAAUGUGGCGAAACCCUGUCUCUACUAAAAAUACAAAAAAAAUUAGCCAGGCGUGGUGGCACACCUGUAAUCCCAGCUACUCAGGAGGCUGAGGCAGGAGAUCGCUUAAACCUCGGAAGGGGAGGUUGCAGUGAGCCAAGAUCACGC
rnacentral:lncRNA from 10 species